rnacentral:rRNA from 1 species
GAUGAACGCUGGCGGCGUGCCUAAUACAUGCAAGUCGAGCGAACAGACGAGGAGCUUGCUCCUCUGACGUUAGCGGCGGACGGGUGAGUAACACGUGGAUAACCUACCUAUAAGACUGGGAUAACUUCGGGAAACCGGAGCUAAUACCGGAUAAUAUAUUGAACCGCAUGGUUCAAUAGUGAAAGACGGUUUUGCUGUCACUUAUAGAUGGAUCCGCGCCGCAUUAGCUAGUUGGUAAGGUAACGGCUUACCAAGGCAACGAUGCGUAGCCGACCUGAAAGGGGGAUCGGCCACACUGGAACUGAGACACGGUCCAGACUCCUACGGGAGGCAGCAGUAGGGAAUCUUCCGCAAUGGGCGAAGGCCUGACGGAGCAACGCCGCGUGAGUGAUGAAGGUCUUCGGAUCGUAAAACUCUGUUAUUAGGGAAGAACAAAUGUGUAAGUAACUAUGCACGUCUUGACGGUACCUAAUCAGAAAGCCACGGCUAACUACGU